GAUGAACGCUGGCGGCGUGCUUAACACAUGCAAGUCGAACGGAAAGGCCCAAGCUUGCUUGGGUACUCGAGUGGCGAACGGGUGAGUAACACGUGGGUGAUCUGCCCUGCACUUCGGGAUAAGCCUGGGAAACUGGGUCUAAUACCGGAUAGGACGAUGGUUUGGAUGCCAUUGUGGAAAGUUUUUUCGGUGUGGGAUGAGCUCGCGGCCUAUCAGCUUGUUGGUGGGGUAAUGGCCUACCAAGGCGUCGACGGGUAGCCGGCCUGAGAGGGGGUACGGCCACAUUGGGACCGUGAAACGGCCCACAGUCCUACGGGAGGCAGCAGGGGGGAAUAUUGCACAAUGGGCGCAAGCCUGAUGCAGCGACGCCGCGUGGGGGAUGACGGCCUUAGGGUUGUAAACUCCUUUCGCUAGGGACGAAGCGUUUUUGUGACGGUACCUGGAGAAGAAGCACCGGCUAACUACGUG
rnacentral:rRNA from 1 species